UCCAGCACUUACGUGCUGGGCUAGAUUCUGCCGCCUCCUUCGGAGGCU
rnacentral:sRNA from 1 species